AUAAUAAUCCAUAGUAUUAGAGACACUGGGAAUGUUCUUUAUUCGAAAGUUCUGGCGCCUUAGGAUGGAUCUUCGGUCGAUUAGGUUGUUGUUGGGGUAACGGCCCAACAAGCCGGUAAUCGAUACGGGUUGUGGGAGCAAGAGCCCGGAGAUGGAAUCUGAGACACGAUUCCAGGCCCUACGGGGCGCAGCAGGCGCGAAAACUUUACAAUGCAGGAAACUGUGAUAAGGGAACUCCGAGUGCCCGUAUACGCGGGCUGUCCAGGUGUUUAAAAAUCAUCUGAAGAAAGGGCCGGGCAAGACCGGUGCCAGCCGCCGCGGUAAUACCGGCGGCUCGAGUGGUGGCCACUAUUAUUGGGCUUAAAGCGUCCGUAGCUGGACCGAUAAGUCUCUUGGGAAAUCCGCCGGCUCAACCGGCGGGCGUCUAAGGGAUACUGUUAGUCUAGGGACCGGGAGAGGUGAGAGGUACUCCGGGGGUAGGAGUGAAAUCCUGUAAUCCCCGGGGGACCACCGAUGGCGAAGGCAUCUCACCAGAACGGCUCCGACAGUGAGGGACGAAAGCUGGGGGAGCGAACCGGAUUAGAUACCCGGGUAGUCCCAGCCGUAAACUAUGCGCGUUAGGUGU
rnacentral:rRNA from 1 species